UAAUAAGUGUUUUAUGGCACUUUUUAAAUCCAUAUCCACCUUGUGUGCAAUGUCAGUCGAUCUUCUUCAUGAAGAUCGACCAAACAUCAACCUUUAUUUUUUAACUCCUUUGUCUGAAAAAUAUUAUGAAUAAACAAUUCAAAAUA
rnacentral:misc_RNA from 1 species